UACGUAGGGAGCGAGCGUUAUCCGGAUUUAUUGGGUGUAAAGGGUGCGUAGGCGGUAAUACAGGUCUGCGGUAUAAGUCCGAAGCUUAACUUCGGUUCGCCGCAGAAACCGUAUAACUAGAGUAUGGUAGAGGCAAGUGGAAUUUCUAGUGUAGCGGUAAAAUGCGUAGAUAUUAGAAGGAACACCAGUGGCGAAGGCGACUUGCUGGGCCAAAACUGACGCUGAGGCACGAAAGCGUGGGGAGCGAAUAG
rnacentral:rRNA from 1 species